rnacentral:rRNA from 1 species
GACGAACGCUGGCGGCGUGCUUAACACAUGCAAGUCGAACGCUGAAGCUUGGUGCUUGCACUGGGUGGAUGAGUGGCGAACGGGUGAGUAAUACGUGAGUAACCUGCCCUUGACUCUGGGAUAAGCCUGGGAAACUGGGUCUAAUACUGGAUAUGACAUGCCACUGCAUGGUGGUGUGUGGAAAGGGUUUUACUGGUUUUGGAUGGGCUCACGGCCUAUCAGCUUGUUGGUGGGGUAAUGGCCUACCAAGGCGACGACGGGUAGCCGGCCUGAGAGGGUGACGGGCCACACUGGGACUGAGACACGGCCCAGACUCCUACGGGAGGCAGCAGUGGGGAAUAUUGCACAAUGGGCGGAAGCCUGAUGCAGCGACGCCGCGUGAGGGAUGACGGCCUUCGGGUUGUAAACCUCUUUCAGCACGGAAGAAGCGAGAGUGACGGUACGUGCAGAAGAAGCGCCGGCUAACUACGUG